rnacentral:rRNA from 1 species
GAUGAACGCUAGCGGCAGGCCUAACACAUGCAAGUCGAGGGAGAAGCCCUUCGGGGCAGAAACCGGCGCACGGGUGCGUAACGCGUAUGCAACCUACCUUUCACAGGGGGAUAGCCCGAAGAAAUUUGGAUUAAUACCCCAUAAUAUUAUUGGAUGGCAUCAUUUGAUAAUUAAAAUUACGAUGGUGAAAGAUGGGCAUGCGUCCUAUUAGCUAGUUGGAGUGGUAACGGCACCCCAAGGCUACGAUAGGUAGGGGUCCUGAGAGGGAGAUCCCCCACACUGGUACUGAGACAGGGACCAGACUCCUACGGGAGGCAGCAGUGAGGAAUAUUGGUCAAUGGUCGGAAGACUGAACCAGCCAUGCCGCGUGCAGGAAGAAUGCCUUAUNGG